GAAAUUGCCUCGAAGUGGGGGAUAGCCCGGAGAAAUCCGGAUUAAUACCGCAUGCGCUCUACGGAGCAAAGUGGGCCUCUGAUUUAAGCUCAUGCUUUGAGAUAUGCCUAUGUCGGAUUAGCUAGUUGGUAGGGUAAAAGCCUACCAAGGCGACGAUCCGUAGCUGGUCUGAGAGGAUGAUCAGCCACACUGGGACUGAGACACGGCCCAGACUCCUACGGGAGGCAGCAGUGGGGAAUAUUGCACAAUGGGCGCAAGCCUGAUGCAGCAAUGCCGCGUGUGUGAAGAAGGCCUGCGGGUUGUAAAGCACUUUUAUCGGGAAAGAAAAUCACAGGGUUAAUAACUCUGUGCCUUGACGGUACCCGAAGAAUAAGGACCGGCUAACUCAGUGCCAGCAGCCGCGGUAAUACUGAGGGUCCAAGCGUUAAUCGGAAUUACUGGGCGUAAAGCGAGUGUAGGCGGCUUCGUAAGUCGGAUGUGAAAGCCCCGGGCUUAACCUGGGAAUUGCAUUCGAAACUGCGCGGCUAGAGUUUGAUAGAGGAAAGUGGAAUUCCAGGUGUAGCGGUGAAAUGCGUA
rnacentral:rRNA from 1 species